rnacentral:rRNA from 1 species
AGAGUUUGAUCAUGGCUCAGGACGAACGCUGGCGGCGUGCCUAAUACAUGCAAGUAGAACGCUGAAGAGAGGAGCUUGCUCUUCUUGGAUGAGUUGCGAACGGGUGAGUAACGCGUAGGUAACCUGCCUUGUAGCGGGGGAUAACUAUUGGAAACGAUAGCUAAUACCACAUAACAAUGGAUGACCCAUGUCAUUUAUUUGAAAGGGGCAAAUGCUCCACUACAAGAUGGACCUGCGUUGUAUUAGCUAGUAGGUGAGGUAACGGCUCACCUAGGCGACGAUACAUAGCCGACCUGAGAGGGUGAUCGGCCACACUGGGACUGAGACACGGCCCAGACUCCUACGGGAGGCAGCAGUAGGGAAUCUUCGGCAAUGGGGGCAACCCUGACCGAGCAACGCCGCGUGAGUGAAGAAGGUUUUCGGAUCGUAAAGCUCUGUUGUAAGUCAAGAACGAGUGUGAGAGUGGAAAGUUCACACUGUGACGGUAGCUUACCAGAAAGGGACGGCUAACUACGUGCCAGCAGCCGCGGUAAUACGUAGGUCCCGAGCGUUGUCCGGAUUUAUUGGGCGUAAAGCGAGCGCAGGCGGUUUGAUAAGUCUGAAGUUAAAGGCUGUGGCUCAACCAUAGUUCGCUUUGGAAACUGUCAAACUUGAGUGCAGAAGGGGAGAGUGGAAUUCCAUGUGUAGCGGUGAAAUGCGUAGAUAUAUGGAGGAACACCGGUGGCGAAAGCGGCUCUCUGGUCUGUAACUGACGCUGAGGCUCGAAAGCGUGGGGAGCGAACAGGAUUAGAUACCCUGGUAGUCCACGCCGUAAACGAUGAGUGCUAGGUGUUGGAUCCUUUCCGGGAUUCAGUGCCGCAGCUAACGCAUUAAGCACUCCGCCUGGGGAGUACGACCGCAAGGUUGAAACUCAAAGGAAUUGACGGGGGCCCGCACAAGCGGUGGAGCAUGUGGUUUAAUUCGAAGCAACGCGAAGAACCUUACCAGGUCUUGACAUCCCGAUGCUAUUUCUAGAGAUAGAAAGUUACUUCGGUACAUCGGUGACAGGUGGUGCAUGGUUGUCGUCAGCUCGUGUCGUGAGAUGUUGGGUUAAGUCCCGCAACGAGCGCAACCCCUAUUGUUAGUUGCCAUCAUUCAGUUGGGCACUCUAGCGAGACUGCCGGUAAUAAACCGGAGGAAGGUGGGGAUGACGUCAAAUCAUCAUGCCCCUUAUGACCUGGGCUACACACGUGCUACAAUGGUUGGUACAACGAGUUGCGAGUCGGUGACGGCAAGCUAAUCUCUUAAAGCCAAUCUCAGUUCGGAUUGUAGGCUGCAACUCGCCUACAUGAAGUCGGAAUCGCUAGUAAUCGCGGAUCAGCACGCCGCGGUGAAUACGUUCCCGGGCCUUGUACACACCGCCCGUCACACCACGAGAGUUUGUAACACCCGAAGUCGGUGAGGUAACCUUUUGGAGCCAGCCGCCUAAGGUGGGAUAGAUGAUCGGGGUGAAGUCGUAACAAGGUA